GAUGAACGCUGGCGGCGUGCCUAAUACAUGCAAGUCGAGCGAACAGACGAGGAGCUUGCUCCUCUGACGUUAGCGGCGGACGGGGGAGUAACACGUGGAUAACCUACCUAUAAGACUGGGAUAACUUCGGGAAACCGGAGCUAAUACCGGAUAAUAUAUUGAACCGCAUGGUUCAAUAGUGAAAGACGGUUUUGCUGUCACUUAUAGAUGGAUCCGCGCCGCAUUAGCUAGUUGGUAAGGUAACGGCUUACCAAGGCAACGAUGCGUAGCCGACCUGAGAGGGUGAUCGGCCACACUGGAACUGAGCCACGGUCCAGACUCCUACGGGAGGCAGCAGUAGGGAAUCUUCCGCAAUGGGCGAAAGCCUGACGGAGCAACGCCGCGUGAGUGAUGAAGGUCUUCGGAUCGUAAAACUCUGUUAUUAGGGAAGAACAAAUGUGUAAGUAACUAUGCACGUCUUGACGGUACCUAAUCAGAAAGCCACGGCUAACUACGUG
rnacentral:rRNA from 1 species